UGAGUCCAUUUUGAUGGCAGAUCUGAGAGCUGAAAGCAACUUUUCAAAAUGGCCAGUGAGGUGCUCUACGCCGAGGUAUCACACAAGGAAAGAGUGAAUUUUAUUUCAGAAGCUUCAGAUACAGGCGAUCCAGUCACAUAUGCUGAGGUGAAUGUGAAAUGGAGAUCUGACAGACCUGACAGCACACCCAAAAUUACACAUUCAGUGACCUGCUUGGAGAACUCGCCCUGGUGCUACGUUGUCUUCGCCCUGCUCUUCUCUGCAGUGGUUCUGCUCCUCACGGUCAUCCUGCUGGUGGUGAAAUGUUACAGCCACUGAGGAACCCUGCUGACACACACGAUAAGUCAGCACAGGAAAGUUCUGCUUCUUCAACAGAACGGGACAUAGUGCUUGUUUUAUUUUACAUUAUUUUGGCUGAAGAGACAAAACGAAGACAUGCCAUCAAGUCUGAUCACUCUUCAGUUAUGUCACCCCAGAUCUCUGUUAAACCUCUAACCUCUCCAUACCUGGACAAGACAUAUAUUAAUUUUAUUUGGAAUUUUCUUAAUCCUGUAAUACCAGCAACCAUCCAACUAUAUCAGUGCAUGUAUCAAGACAUGGGCUCAAGCUCCUGCAUCAAAAGGUGGAUUUGGGCCUUGUUUAGACAACAAAAAUGACCAGGUGGGGACAUACUUUUAAUUCACAUCUGACUUGAUUCUGCACUGAUUUGCAAUACAGAUAAUCUUUUAGAUUGCAUUAUAUUCAAGUGCAAAAACUCAUGGACAAAAGAGGGAAUGUGAAAGGUUGCACUGAGCUUUUUUAUAAAGCCUAGGCUUGGACUUGAUUAUUUUUCUUCUGACAGCUGUUAAUUGGAUUUGUAUGAAAGGGAUAUUGGAGGUUCAAGAAACUAAAUGUUGCUAGUAGAGAAGUCUCAGUUUCAUCUCCUCAUUGGCUUGAAUUACAUUAUUCUGUUCCACUUGUCCAGAAGAGCAUCUCACAAUAUAUUGUUUCUGUCUUGGGGCAGUAAUUAAUUUUUGUAUUUGUUUGGGUUUUUUUGGUCCCACGUGCCACAGCUUCAGUUAAAACUGGAACUGAAGCACUUGAAGUCCAAAUGCAUUUGUUUGUAAUUAUGAGCUUAUUGUCUGUUUUUAUAUUAUUUUUGGAUCUUAUCCAUUAUAACUUCUUUGAGGCAGGCUGCAGAGGAUUUGCAGACUCUGAGUAGGAGGAGUCUGUACAGCAAAUAUUUCUAAAAUAUUCCUUGUAUCCAAACUUAUCUGUACUUUAGCUGUUGCUGCUGUUGCUAAUGUACCCCAUCUUUAUAAUACAUGCACAGAAGUUAAUAAAGGGAUUCAGUAAAGCA